rnacentral:tRNA from 1 species
AGGGCAGUAGCUCAGUUGGCUAGAGCAUCGGUCUCCAAAACCGACGGUCGUGGGUUCGAGUCCCUCCUGCCCUGCCA